UGGUUUUGGAGGUGCAGUCCAGGGUGGUGGUUUUGGAGGUGCAGCCCAGGGAGGUGGCUUCGGAAGUGGUGGCUUUGGAGCUUUUGGCAGUAAUAAUCAAGGUGCCAGUAGUUUCUCGGCAUUUGGUUCGGGUGGCACCGCUGGGCCUGGAGGACCCCCGGCAGAUUUUUUGACACAGAUGAGAAAAUAGCGCAGUUUGCGUCCAGGCACCGCCAAGCCCCAAGUACAUCAUCAAUCCUUGUCCUUCUAAAGAAUGUACAGUAUUGGUCAUGGAUAGGUGGAUAAUGUGGAUGCAUUGCCCUAGGAAUGUCACUUCUUUAUCAUUAGUCUGAGAUGAUAUUUAUCGGUGUUCAUGGCUACACCUAGGGUGGCAAGCGGUGCGGGUUGUGGAUACAUGUUUGCUCUAAGCUAGCUCAAAUUUCAAUCUGUUCCGUGACACUUUUUGCACUAAAUUUUCAUUUGCGGGACAGAAAGCAGUCACCGCUUGACACCCUAGCUACACCAGACCAUGGACUGCCGGUGGUUUUGUACAACAUCUGAAGAGAAUGGUUUCUUUUGUA